rnacentral:rRNA from 1 species
AUACGGAGGGGGCAAGCGUUAUUCGGAAUCACUGGGCGUAAAGGACGCGUAGGCGGGUUUGUAAGUCAGGUGUGAAAUCCUACAGCUCAACUGUAGAACUGCACUUGAAACUACAGACCUAGAGUAUGGAAGGGGCAGAUGGAAUUAGUGGUGUAGGGGUAAAAUCCGUAGAUAUCACUAGGAAUACCGAAAGCGAAGGCGAUCUGCUGGGACAUUACUGACGCUGAGGCGUGAAAGCGUGGGGAGCAAACAGGAUUAGAAACCCUAGUAGUCC